ACCCAAAAACCUAUUCGGUCUCCUUCUUCGUCUUCUUCUUCUCCAACUAAACCAUAAAAACCCCAUCACCGUGCAAUUUUUUCCCAAUUCUGAAACAAUCAACAACAUGAAGAAAGAGCUUUUCGGGAAAAGGCUUACUGCCUUUUACAAUAGUUUGAUUUUCAACAAGAAAGAUUCAUGGGGGAACUCUGAUGCUGUUGUAAUCCAUUCACAGCAACAAGAAAAUCCGAAUUCUCUGUCAUCCCAGUUCUAUUUAUGGCUUAUGGGUGAAAAACAUGAUGAUACGACAGUAAUCUUUACUCCUAUUGGGAUAUUCUUUUUCUGUACACAGAAAAAUUAUUCCAAGAUUCG
rnacentral:misc_RNA from 1 species